rnacentral:misc_RNA from 1 species
GAAAUGCGAUAACUAAUAUGAAUUGCAGAAUUCAGUGAAUCAUCGAGUCUUUGAACGCAGAUUGCGCCCCCUGGUAUUCCGGGGGGCAUGCCUGUCCGAGCGUCAUUGCUGCCCUCAAGCCCGGCUUGUGUGUUGGGUCGCCGCCCCCCUCUCCGGGGGGACGGGCCCGAAAGGCAGCGGCGGCACCGCGUCCGAUCCUCGAGCGUAUGGGGCUUUGUCACAUGCUCUGUAGGAUUGGCCGGCGCCUGCCGACGUUUUCCAACCAUUCUUUCCAGGUUGACCUCGGAUCAGGUAGGGAUACCCGCUGAACUUAAGC